GAUAAAAUGGCUGAUGAUAGGUUGUAAAUUGUAAAUUUAUAUAUAGAUUAAAUAAUCUUUUUAUCA
rnacentral:tRNA from 1 species